GUGGGGAAUAUUGGACAAUGGGCGAAAGCCUGAUCCAGCCAUGCCGCGUGUGUGAAGAAGGUCUUCGGAUUGUAAAGCACUUUAAGUUGGGAGGAAGGGCAGUAAGUUAAUACCUUGCUGUUUUGACGUUACCGACAGAAUAAGCACCGGCUAACUUCGUGCCAGCAGCCGCGGUAAUACGAAGGGUGCAAGCGUUAAUCGGAAUUACUGGGCGUAAAGCGCGCGUAGGUGGUUUUGUAAGUUGGAGGUGAAAUCCCCGGGCUCAACCUGGGAACUGCCUCCAAAACUGCAUGUCUAGAGUACGGUAGAGGGUAGUGGAAUUUCCUGUGUAGCGGUGAAAUGCGUAGAUAUAGGAAGGAACACCAGUGGCGAAGGCGACUACCUGGACUGAUACUGACACUGAGGUGCGAAAGCGUGGGGAGCAAACAGGAUUAGAAACCCUGGUAGUCC
rnacentral:rRNA from 1 species